UACGUAGGGUGCAAGCGUUAAUCGGAAUUACUGGGCGUAAAGCGUGAGCAGGCGGUUUUGUAAGUCUGUCGUGAAAGCUCCGGGCUCAACCUGGGAAUUGCGAUGGAGACUGCAAGGCUUGAAUCUGGCAGAGGGGGGUAGAAUUCCACGUGUAGCAGUGAAAUGCGUAGAGAUGUGGAGGAACACCGAUGGCGAAGGCAGCCCCCUGGGUCAAGAUUGACGCUCAUGCACGAAAGCGUGGGGAGCAAACAGG
rnacentral:rRNA from 1 species